GGCUAGUCCAAUGGUAGUGGGUUAUCAGAACUUGCUAACAUAAGUGUUACUAAAGCUGGCAUACAACCCCCCAAUAUUAAAUUUGACUGGCUUAAA
rnacentral:Y_RNA from 1 species